UCUCCGUUGGUGAACCAGCGGAGGGAUCAUUACUGAGUAUAUCCUACUACUCUCAACCCUUUGCGAACGUACCUGUUCUGUUGCUUCGGCAGGCCGUCCCCUGGGAGGGGCAGCCAGCGCCUGCCGGUGGACUACUAAACUCUUGUUAAUUUAUGGCAUUCUGAAUCAUAACUAAGAAAUAAGUUAAAACUUUCAACAACGGAUCUCUUGGUUCUG
rnacentral:misc_RNA from 1 species